rnacentral:rRNA from 1 species
UACGAAGGGGGCUAGCGUUGUUCGGAAUUACUGGGCGUAAAGGGCGCGUAGGCGGUGUGUCAAGUCAGGCGUGAAAGCCCCGGGCUCACCCUGGGAACUGCGCUUGAGACUGGCACGCUCGAGUUCGGGAGAGGAUGGUGGAAUUCCCAGUGUAGAGGUGAAAUUCGUAGAUAUUGGGAAGAACACCGAUGGCGAAGGCAGCCAUCUGGACCGACACUGACGCUGAGGCGCGAAAGCGUGGGGAGCAAACAGG